AGAAAAAAAGUAAUGAAAGUAACAAGGAGUUGCACACCCCUCUGACUGCAGUUUUCAAUGCUAGACAAGGGUGUUUGGUGGGGGACAAUGCUGAUUGAAGCAAAUAAUGUGAAACAUGGUUUAGGAAUCACGGAAUUUGGGCCUCAAGUAUAGUAACAUAAAGUGAGUUUCUUGCUUUCCAAAGGUUUGGAUGGUGACAUUUCACUGAAAGACAGGGAAGCAACACGGAGAGAAAAGGUCUUUAGGGUGACAUAAAGGCAGGAAGACUGCGGGAAGAUGAAUGUGAAUGAAGAAAAAAGAGUAAAGAACAGAAGUAUAUGAAGGAAAAGAGACCAACGGCUCAGAGAUGUGCACAGCUCUUUACUGUAGGAACACUAAGCCCAUUUAUUCUAAGAUUGCCUCAGAAGAACUGAAGAGACAGGAAUUUGAGCCUUGACCCAGUAAUAAAUCAGAGUAGCCGUCGCUGUAGUGGAAAGCACAGUAAUGUCAAAAGCUUCCUGGUGUAUGUGCAAUGGGAAGUCAUUCAGCAGU